CCAUGUUGGCCAGGCUGGUCUCGAAUUCCUGGCUGGGAUUACAGGCAUGAGCCACCACGCCGUGCUAGAUUUUGGAUUCUUGAUACGUAUCAUCAACCAUUCUCCAGAGUUUGGCCAGCUUCACGCUCCAUCAGUGGUCUCACCAAAGACCUUCUAAUCUUGAUUGUGUUGACUGGUGUCUAUUUUCUAAUGGUGUUUGGUUUUGGAACCUGCAUUUCUUUGAAAAAGAGUGAGCAUGUGCAUUUUCCCAGAUGCCUAGUAUCCAACUGCACUUCUCCAUGUGUGCAUUGUCCCCUGAGCUGGCAAGAAGAUCCUACUAGUUGGUCUGCAUGCCAUGCCAGCUCGGCCUUGCACCCUGGGGGCCCAGCUGUUGUCCACACCAAGGGUGGCCUACAGAGGGAAGUGAGGACCUUGGGACUUCCUCCAGGACAGCCCUCGCUGUUCAAAUCUCCACCUGCUGCAGAGCUGCCUCCAGUCAAGCCCUUGUUUCCGGCUUUCUGUGCCCUAAAUAAACUUCCGCUAGGAUUGAGCCGUCAGCAUUCUGUGGUGGGCGUCGCUGCUGCGAGGUUGCCCUCGUGCACGCAAGCUCCUCACAGGGUCUCGCUGUGUCACCCAGGCUGGAGGGCAGUGGUGUGA